GGGGUCACCGCCUGGCUGGGAAGACAAACUUCCUUGUUAUUGUGCCGCCGGCUGCAGGAACCCGGGCCAGAGGUGCAUCCACAUCUGGAACACCCGGGGAGCAGUAGCUGGGACAGAUUGGGAGCUGCCUUCUGCUACGGGACUGGAUGUUCAUUCGUCUCCAUCCCUGAUGUAAUGAAGGGAGCUUCACAGAUGCGGAAACAAUCAAGCUACAUGAUUUGCUAGAAGAAGAGGAUGAUGUUAUGUUGGGGAUAUUGGUCUUUGGGACUUCCUGGGGCCGGCAGCAGUUUCCAGGCGAUCAUCCCUGAGCCUCAGAGCUGUGGUUUCAUUCAUGAGAGGAACGUCAAAGAAGUGGCUUGUGGUGGAAAUCAUUCUAUUUUUCUUCUGGAGGAUGGGCAAGUCUACACGUGUGGCUUAAAUGCCAAAGGACAACUCGGCCAUGAAAGGGAGGGAAACAAGCCAGAGCAAAUAUGCACUCUAGCGGAUCAACACAUCAUCCACGUUGCCUGUGGAGAAGCUCACAGUGUUGCCCUCAGUAACCAAGGGCAACUUUUUUCCUGGGGCGCCGGGAGCGAUGGCCAGCUAGGACUAACUACUACAGAGGAUUCAGUGGCUGUCCCAAGGUUAAUCAAGAAGCUGAACCAAGAGACGAUACUGCAGGUCUCCUGUGGCAACUGGCACUGCCUCGCCCUUGCAGCUGAUGGACAGUUUUUUGCAUGGGGACAGAACAACCACGGGCAGCUCGGGCUGGGAAAAGAAUUCCCCUCACAACCGAGUCCUCAGCGUGUCAAGUCACUUGACGGGAUCCCAUUGGCACAAGUCGCUGCGGGAGGAGCACAUAGCUUCGCCCUGUCUCUCUCAGGAGCUGUGUUUGGUUGGGGGAAAAAUAGCUCGGGACAGUUGGGACUGAGCGAUCAACGAGAUCGGGAAUCUCCAUGCCACGUGAAGCUCUUACGGUCUCAAAUGGUCGUCUAUAUCAGCUGUGGAAAUGACCACACGGCUGUCCUCACCAAGAGUGGUGGCGUGUUCACCUUUGGGGCAGGUUCCUUUGGGCAGCUUGGCCAUGACUCCUUGAACGACGAAGUAAACCCCAGACGGGUUCUGGAGCUGAUGGGCAGCGAGGUAUCCCAAAUUGCUUGUGGUAGGCAGCACACACUUGCCUUUGUGCCUUCUUCAGGAAUCAUCUAUGCAUUUGGCUGCGGAAUCAGAGGCCAGUUAGGAACCGGACAUACGUGCAAUCUUAAAUGUCCUUCCCCAGUAAAGGGUCAGUGGGUCACCUACAACGAGCAAUACUUGGGUAUAACAGAUCCAUAUAAAUAUUAUAUUGUUCAACGUAUCUUUUCUGGAGGAGACCAAACGUUUGUUCUUUGCUCUGAAAGGGAGAAUUCGGUGCCUGCUGAUGACUUCCGAGCCAUAAAUCAAAGUGACUACACCUGUUCAAUUAACGACGAAACGAUUGACAUGUGGAGGCACAAGCUGUCAGAGAGGAACAACCCCAAUUCAGUGAAUGAGGUUGGGCAAAUCCUGUCCUCAGCUGCCUGCUGGAACGGAAGCUUCCUAGAAAAGAAAAUAGAUGAACAUUUUAAAACUAGUCCCAAAAUCCCAGGGAUUGACCUGAAUUCCACCAAAGUGACGUUUGACAAGCUAAUGACGUCUCAGCAUUCCAUCUUACUCGACCAGGUCUUGAAGAGCUUCGAAAGCUUUUUGAUCCCUCAGCUGCCCAGUUCCCCACCAGAUGUGGAAGCCAUGAGGAUCUACCUGAUUCUCCCUGAAUUCCCACCAUUCCAAGACUCCAAAUACUACGUAACAUUAACCCUUCCCUUGGCAAUGGCCAUACUGCGCCUGGACAGAAACCCCAGCAAAGUCUUAGAUAAUUGGUGGUCUCAGGUGUGCCCUACGUACUUCUUGAGGCUGGUCGAUCUCUAUAAAGGCGCUGUGGUUUAUCUUUUGCAUGGGAAAAAAACAUUGCUGAUCCCAGUCUUGUACAGUAGCUACAUCACAGCUGCUCUACGACUUCUCGAGAAACUCCAUAAAGUAAAUCAGAAAGUUAAGCAUGUCGAAUAUGACAAGUUUUAUAUCCCAGAGAUUUCCAAUCUGGUGGAUAUUCAGGAAGAUUACCUGAUGUGGUUCCUGCAUCAAGCCGGAAUGAAAGUGCGGCCGUCGAUCAUGCAGGAUGCUGUGACCCUCUGCUCUUAUCCUUUCAUUUUUGAUGCUCAAGCCAAGACAAAGAUGCUGCAGACGGAUGCUGAGCUGCAGAUGCAGGUGGCCAUUAGCGGAGCGAAUUUGCAGAACGUUUUCAUGCUACUUACCCUGGAGCCCCUCCUGGCCCGAAGUCCUUUCCUCGUCCUUCAUGUCCGUAGGAGCAAGUUGGUUGGUGAUGCCUUGAGGGAGUUGAGCAUCCAUUCAGAUAUUGACUUGAAAAAGCCUUUGAAGGUGAUCUUCGACGGUGAGGAAGCUGUUGAUGCUGGUGGAGUCACAAAGGAAUUCUUCCUUCUGCUGCUAAAAGAGCUCCUCAAUCCCAUCUAUGGAAUGUUCACCUUUUACUCAGAAUCAAACCUGCUGUGGUUCUCAGAUACCUGCUUUGUGGAGCACAACUGGUUCCAUCUCAUUGGCAUCAUCUGUGGCCUGGCCAUAUACAACUUCACCGUGGUGGAUCUUCACUUCCCGCUGGCUCUCUAUAAGAAACUCCUGAACGUGGAGCCCUGUUUGGAAGAUUUGAAAGAGCUGUCUCCAACAGAAGGAAGGAGCCUUCAACAGCUUUUAGAUUACCCUGGGGAAGAUGUUGAAGAAACUUUCUGCCUGUGUUUUACAAUCUGCAGAGAGAGCUACGGAGUGGCAGAGCACAAGAACCUCGUGCCCGGUGGCGACAAGAUUCCCGUGCAGAAAGAGAACAGGCAGGAGUUUGUCGACGCCUACGUGAAUUACAUCUUCAACCUCGCAAUCCAGGAGUGGUACGCGGCUUUCUCCUCCGGCUUCCUGAAAGUGUGUGGUGGGAAAGUCCUGGAACUUUUCCAGCCGACUGAGCUCCGCGCCAUGAUUGUAGGUAACAGCAACUACAACUGGAAGGAACUGGAAGAGAGUGCUGCUUACAAGGGAGAAUUCUCUGCCACGCACCCAACCGUGAAAAUGUUCUGGGAGACGUUUCAUGAUUUUCCUUUGGAAAAGAAGAAGAAGUUUCUCUUGUUUCUGACAGGCAGUGACCGCAUUCCAAUCUACGGCAUGUCCAGUUUGCGCAUCGUCAUCCAGUCCACGACCAGUGGGGAGGAAUAUUUACCCGUGGCUCACACGUGCUACAACCUGCUUGACCUGCCCGUGUACAGCACGAAAGAAAUCUUGAAUAUUCGACUGACUCAAGCUAUUGACCAUUACGAGGGCUUCAGCUUGGCUUGAGGGGAGCCCCUAGCCCCCUCUCCCAACAGGAACUGUUCUGUACAGAAAAGAAAUACAGUCUUCGUUUUUAUUUUUGUAAUGUUCUAGUGGUAAGUGGGGGGAGGGGAUGAAGAGCCCCCACAAAGACCAGUCAGCAACCCCUGGAUUUUUCAGUUUUGGUGUUUUUAAUCCAUCGAACAAAAUCAGUUCAAUAUCUUUUGACUGAUUUUUUAAAAAAAUCUUCUAUUCUACUUUUCCAAAAAUUAUGCUGAAUAGAUUUGAUUUCAUUGGCUCAUUCCGCACAUGCAGAAUAAUGCAUUUUCAAACUGCUCACUGAAGCUGUGCAGAAUGGCAAAAUCCACUUGCAAACAGUUGUGAAAGUGGUUUGAAAACGCAUUAUUUUGCGUGUGCGGAAGGGGCCUUAGUCUUUCUAAAGACAGACGGUCGCAAUUCACAGGGAAUGUCUGUUCUCUCCUUUUCUCCCAAAGCACCUGGGAAUCCCCUUGUGUUCUUCCCUCCCUUUCCUUUCCCAUGUGGCCCUCCUCUGACUCACAAUGAACCUGCCCACCCAGCUGAUCACAAAUCGCUUCCAGGCCUAGAGAACUUUAUAUUUUUCAAAAACGAUUUCUUUCAUGCGAACGGUGGCAGAGAGUUCUGUAAUAGAUAAGAUCCUUUCACGUGCAGAUUAGUUUGGGGGAGUGUGUGAAGAUUUUGCAUCGUGGGAUCUUUUUACAUCUUUUCUCCUCAGUUGAAACUUUUCUCAUAAAAGGAGAGGGGACACAAAUAAUUUAGCCAAGAGAAUUUCAAAGCUGUGAAGAGAUGACGGGAAAGAGAAAUCAUGAUAAAGAUCACACAAACUAGGAUCAAGUUAGGUCAACCAGCCUUGCUGCUGGAGGAAAAAGGACGAAAGGGUCUUACACUGGGCAUUUAUGGGACGGGCACAGACAAAAGACGUGAAAAUGGACUAUAGGAAGUCAAGCAAUUAGGUGAAUUGGGGUGAAAAAGCUGUCUGGAUCCAUCCCUGUGAUGUUUUUGACAUUCUUGUUUUGUCCAAAAAUAUUCCCCAGUGCAGAUAAAAAUACCUUGCGGAGUCACGAUUUAUUUUGGGUUUAUCAAAGAGCGUUGGUCAAGGGCCUGGAAGACUCAAGGCCGAAUGGCCACUCAUACUUAAGCUAACCUACCUCACAGGAUUGUGAGGAUAAAUGGAGGGCAGGCGAAUGAGGUUAAGUGGUUUUGGGCCCCCACUGGGGUAUGAAUAAAGUAAAUAAAACACCCGGUUAAAGAGUGAAAUAAUAAUCCCUGGUUGCAGACCCCUGCUUUAAACUGUCAUCAACAUGCAGAUUGACUGUUUUUUUUUCUUUUAAGUUUAUCAGGAAAAAUGGCGACUGAACUAAUAACGUACUUCUGCACUUUGGUGAUUAUCUUUGCUUUAGAAUAUGACUUUUAUGCAGCUGGAUUUAAGGGUGGCCGUAUUUCGGUGUGGCAUUUCUCUCCCUUUCUUUGUUCAGGAAUAGUGUUCUGGAAGUGAUUUCUGGCGCAAUCCAUUUUGCCCCUUUCCUCAGGUGUAGUUGAGGGUCCUUUGCCAGGUUCUAUUGGACCCUUUUCCUGCCCCAGUGAGCCCCCUGAACGGAGAAUCAGACCCUGUGCUGCUGCCCCCUGGCACGCUUCUUUCACUGAGUGGCUCAUCUCAGCCUUCCGUAUAAGAUUCAGGAUCCGCUGGCCCACCGUGGGGCCCUGGCCAACCACUGUUUACACUUUGGGGGACGGAGGCAAGCUAGUGAAGCAGUUUUCUGUACCUUCUCCUUUCCAACCACAGCCUCCCAAGACCCCCUUCGUUCCCUCAGAUCUUAUAACGAAUAGCUUCUCCCUGUUUUCCAAUAUUCGGUGUUAAUUUAAAGCCAGCUGUUGGAGAGUGGAUUUAUUUAUAUAAAAUGGUGGCCUCAGUCCUAUCCAAAUUAGCUCACGUUUAAUCCAAUAGAAAGAAAUUGAAUUUGGAGAUAGCUGUGAUGGAAUUAUUGUGGUGGAAUGAUUCCAUGAGUUUCAGGGGAUGUAAGAGCUGGAUUGAGGCCAUGUUAUUUAUGUACCUUGUUUCAUAGGUACCGCCGAACCAUGUUUUGGGGGUUUUUUUGCACCUUGUGAAGACAGGCAACUAAAGGCUUAUGGGGCUUUUUAAAGAUAAUCUGAUUUGCUACUCUGGUAGCUGAUCAGCCUGUUUGUAAUACAGCAUUAAAUACAGGUCUAUGAAAUGUUUAUUUUCUAUGUGUGAGUACAUAGCCCAGUAUUAUGCAAUAAACGUACUGUUUUCCUUCA